rnacentral:lncRNA from 1 species
GAAAUUAUGGGAUUAGGGGAAGAAUUGAAGAAUUAUUUUUUAUGUGAAUCCCCUUUUUAUUUUUUCUCUGACAUGAAUUAUGCCUUUUCUUACAGUUGAAGGAAAGGUGUUUCGAAAAAGGUUGCUAGACAGUGUGAAGAAUCUUAAAAGAGGAAAGAUUGAUAUGAUUAACCUGGACACAUUUUUGGAAAAUAUGGGGAUGGAGCUUUCACAUAAAGAGCUUGAAGAUUUUUCACAAAACCUGCCAGUUGAUGGUGAGCAUUGUAGAUAAAAAUUUAUUCCCUUUAGGACAUAUUGGGUUUGAGAACGUUUGUAAAUUAAUGAUAGUACUUAUUUGGUUUUAACAGAGCAU